UUGUGCCGCUUCCUGUAGUGUGUUAUUAUUAUCCCUUUCUCGCGGGAUAUAAAAUCUCGAUCGAUUUCGUGAGCGUACAGUAUUUCGGAAACGCUUUGUACAUGAUUUUUAUGUGAAUUACGCGUUACUUUUUCGUCCUUCCGUUUUUUUAUUUAAAAAUGUAAAUAGAAAUGUUUGAGGAAAAGUGUGCUUCGGUUACAUCACGUUUAAUGUGUAAAAAGGAUAUAGAACUAUUUCGACCCAGUUUUGCAACCAAGGCUUAUGUUUAAUUUUUUAAGAAAAUUUAUACAAAUUUUGUGUAAUUCAAUAAUUAAAUUUUUUGAAAAAAUAAAUGAAGCUAUACGUGUUCGUAAAAUAUGAUACGAAUAGUCACCCGUGCUGCAAAAAUAGAAGACUAAACUGUUUGUGUAUUACUCGUGAAAAGUGAUAAUUAAUAGUGUUUUAAUAAUGGAGAAUAAUUGAACAUUGGAUAACUGGAACACUCAACAGAACCAGAAGAUUGCAAUUAUGAAGAGGUAGAAUCGAUUUGAUCUCAAGAAAUGAAGAUUUUAGCAUAACGGACGUAGAAAAGCACAACACGAGUGAAGGAAAAAGAAAGACUGAGAGUCGAACCGAUAUACAUAGAAAGGGACAAUAAUCGGAUUAUGUUACACUCUUCAACCGCGAUUGGUUGUCGAGUGCCGUGGUAUGUUAAAAGAAACUCGCUGAGGAUAUGGUGGGGAUGACGACGUUGCAAUUAUGAAGAGGUCUCCGAUGUUACUAUUAUCCAAAGUUUACUAUACAAUUCUUCGGUUUUGAAUGAUGAACAUAAUCAUAGCAACAAACCUUCGGUGGUUCUUGCGGUGGGGGCGCAGGUGCAUUUGGAUCUUCAACCACUUCAUCUUUGGCUUCGAAUUGUCCGGACCGGAACAAUUCUAGUUCGACUUUCUCCACCUCCGGCUUCAACCUUUUAUUUUUUAUUAAUAUUUUGCGCUUUAGUGCACUUGGUGGUGGAAGCGGUUGCCCUGGUUCGAGCUGUAACAUUUAGUUUACGAUUACAAAAUAAAGAAUUAUUAGGCCCUUACAUAAACAAUGCAGUUUUUUAUAUUUCUUUUAUUUUUAAUAAUAGAGAUAGACAAAAUUGUUUUUAAUCUGAAACAUAU